GACGUAGGAGGCGAGCGUUGUCCGGAUUCAUUGGGCGUAAAGAGCGUGUAGGCGGCCAGACAGGUCCGUUGUGAAAACUCGAGGCUCAACCUCGAGACGUCGACGGAAACCGUCUGGCUAGAGUCCGGAAGAGGAGUGUGGAAUUCCUGGUGUAGCGGUGAAAUGCGCAGAUAUCAGGAAGAACACCUAUGGCGAAGGCAGCACUCUGGGACGGUACUGACGCUGAGACGCGAAAGCGUGGGGAGCGAACAGG
rnacentral:rRNA from 1 species